rnacentral:tRNA from 1 species
GGAUUAUGGUUCCGUGGAAGAGCGCUUGCCUCACAUGUAUGAGGCACUGGGUUCGAUCCUCAGCACCA